UACGAAGGGUGCAAGCGUUACUCGGAAUUACUGGGCGUAAAGGGUGCGUAGGCGGGUCUUUAAGUCAGGGGUGAAAUCCUGGAGCUCAACUCCAGAACUGCCUUUGAUACUGAGGAUCUUGAGUUCGGGAGAGGUGAGUGGAACUGCGAGUGUAGAGGUGAAAUUCGUAGAUAUUCGCAAGAACACCAGUGGCGAAGGCGGCUCACUGGCCCGAUACUGACGCUGAGGCACGAAAGCGUGGGGAGCAAACAGG
rnacentral:rRNA from 1 species